rnacentral:rRNA from 1 species
UACGUAGGGGGCAAGCGUUGUCCGGAAUCAUUGGGCGUAAAGCGCGUGUAGGCGGCUCAGUAAGUCCGCUCUGAAAGCCCGGGGCUUAACCCCGGGAGGCGGGUGGAUGACUGGCUGAGCUUGAGUCCGGAAGAGGCGAGUGGAAUUCCCCGGUGUAGGCGGUGAAAUGCGCAGAUAUCGGGAGGAACACCAAUGGCGAAGGCAGCUCGCUGGGACGUGACUGACGCAUGACGACGCGAAAGCGUGGGGAGCAACA